rnacentral:tRNA from 1 species
GGGCCGGUAGCUCAGCCUGGUAGAGCACCUGGGAUAUGAAGUCAUAACUUUUAAUCAGGUGGUCGCGAGUCCGAAUCUCGUCCGGCCCA